ACAGUCGUCAUACUAAGCUACUUUCAUUCUCGUUUCAGCUACCGCCAGCAAACCCCUCCCUCGUUUCUCACUCUCUCUCAGCCGACUGUUGCGCCAGCAGUCAGCAAUUAACACCAACACCAACAACAACAAUAAUAAUAAUCGUAACAAUAACAACAACAUCGUUAUAUUAAAAAGCAGGAGCAGCCACGACCCAGUUGACUGAAAAGAAGGGGAAAAAAAAUCCACUGGCAAUUUAAAAGUGCUUGGGUGAGAGAGAGAAGAAUGGCGACUCUACUAUACUCAAAGUUGAGAAGGGUUUCCUUCUCCCCAAGCUGAUUCUGGUGCCGUUUUUUAAUACCAAAGUCCUCACCAGACCGAAAUAUCUACCCCUCAUAGAUAUAACCGUAUAUAGAAACACAGAUUUAUACAUAUAUAUAUCUGUAUUAAAGAGAAAAACAGCCGUGAUUUACGUCUAAAGUGCAGUUCUUUUUUUAUUUUUAAUAUUAUUUCAUCGUUCGUACACACAACUACCUUUUUGGAUAUGUCUACCACGCAGGGUGAUUUGUCGGCCCUUGGGCCUCCGCCAUCCUAUGAUUCUGUUAUGCAAGGUGAAGCCUACUCUGGUGUUCCAGCGCAUGGCCCUUACCAGCCAGCUCCCCCAUAUUCUCAGAUUCCUGGUUAUAGCACACAUCCUCAACAACCUUACAACCCAUCAAAUAUUGGCUUUACACCAUAUGGAGUACCACCACAGCAAACAGUACCACCCAUGGUAGUGACAGGGCAACCAUCACAUGUUCAAACCUACCCAACAACAGUUAUUGAUUCCACCGGACAAGGAGCACAAGCAGUACCAAACCACAGCCGACGACGAAUCAUGGCCAUCCUCCUUGUUAUCUUUCUGCCGCUCUGCCUUUUUAUAUUCAUAUACCUUCUUUUUUGAUCCCCUCAACAACCUGGACCCAUUUCCUUCGUCCCCCAAAGACAUUUUACGUUUUGUUAUCGAUGAACCUCAUAUAAAGGGCUUUGUGGCUGUUUUGUUAUUUGCCCUCCUCCUCUCUCUCUUUACCCCCUUCUGUUGGUACCCCUACAUCACUACAUUGCCUUGUCUGGUUAUUUAAAACUGUGAAUGCUAUUCUGUGUGACAUGGUGACUAUAAUGUGUAACAUAAAUAGAAUGAUCUGUGACAGAACACAUCAGACAUUGAACAAUUAUGUUACAAGUCAUUACAAUCUGUUACACUAUGUUACAUCAUAUACAAGUCACAAUGAUCUAUUACAAACUUUGUCAUGUUACAAUCACUAUGAUUUGCUACAAACAGUCUCCUGUUACAAGUCACUGUGGUCUGUUAAAAAUGACUGAUUUAUAAUACUGUUGGAAGUCACUAUGAUGUUACACAAUGGCAUGUUACAGCUCUAUGAUCUGAUACACACCACAUUGUUUCAAGUCACUAUGAUUUGCUACAAACAGUCUCCUGUUACAAGUCACUGUGGUCUGUUAAAAAUAACUGAUUUAUAAUACUGUUGGAAGUCACUAUGAUGUUACACAAUGGCAUGUUACAGCUCUAUGAUCUGAUACACACCACAUUGUUUCAAGUCACUAUGAUUUGCUACAAACAGUCUCCUGUUACAAGUCACUGUGGUCUGUUAAAAAUGACUGAUUUAUAAUACUGUUGGAAGUCACUAUGAUGUUACACAAUGGCAUGUUACAGCUCUAUGAUCUGAUACACACCAUAUAGUUUCAAGUUGCAAUGGAUCUGUUAAACUGUUACAAGUUGCUACAAUGUGUUACAUAUGCUACAGCUCACCAUAGUCUGCUACAAACUGUAUUAUGUUACAAGUCACUAGUCACCAUGAUCAGUUACAGACCAUGUUACAUUGCAAGUCACUAUGAUUUUUUGCAAUAUAUUCUGUUACAAGUCAGUGAUCUGUGACACAGUGGUAUAUUACAAGUCACUAUGACCUGUUAACAUACCAUGUUACAAAUCGUUGUGACCUAAUACAUACCAUGUUAUGUUACAAGCUAUGGUGGUCUGGUACAUACCAUGUUACAAGUCACAGCACUCUAUCUCUACAUCUUGACAUUCAAUAUGAUUAGAAUAUGGUUUAUCUCUUCUGAAUUACGGUUUUGUGACUGAAACAUUGCGACCUGUAUGUAAUGAGUAACAACUUCACACACACACAGGAUUAGUUGCCUCAGCAGAUUCAGUGAGACCAAAUCAUAUAAUGGUAGAUGGAAACUGUGUGGAAGCCUGUCAUGUAACUACACAUGCACACAUACAUAUAUAUGUGUGUGUGUGUGUCUCUAUCAAUGUGUAGGUGUCUUUGUGCCUGCGAUUGCACCCCACCCACUAAUUUACAAUUGGUGUUGGUUCAUUUGCAUCCUAGUAGCUUAGCAGUUUUGCUGAAAAGACUAUAGAAUAAGUAUCAUCAAUCAAAAAAAAAAAAAAUUACUGGGGUCAAUUUGUUUGACUGAAAUCCUUUCAAGGUAGUGCCCCAGCAAGGCCACAGUCCCUAGACUGAAACAAGUAAAAGAGGGAAGAUUUCGUUUCAUUGAUUUUUGUAAAUAACUUCCUAAACUGAAUCAAAACAAACCAAAAAAAUGAUUGCUUGACUUAUUGGUAUCAUAUUUCUCAGACACACUCCAACUGCUUGAUCCUUAAAUAUACUGUGUCCACUCUCUGACUUUUCAAUGGUCACUACUACCAUGGCGGUAGUUAUUCCUUACUGCUGAAAGCCUCCUAUAAUCUCAUCUCGGGCUUUACUUACUUGCUUAUCUCUCCUUCUCCUUGUCUCCCAUAUUGCCUACCUGAAAUAACCAUUGUCCCCACUCACCAUCUUGAGAAUCACUGCUCUACAUGGUUGCUCAACCUGCUAGAAAUAGCAGUCACAACCAUAUCUCCCUCACGCCACACUCUGCUGCCUUAUAAAAGGGAGAAAUGCACAUUAGACAAUGAGGCACUAGACGGUGUAGGUCACUAUUGGAAUGUCUCUGAUGAUAGGAAUCUACUCAAUGAAGUGUUCACAAGGUAAGAGCUCGAAAUGUUAAUGAAACCUGCUAGAAAUAGCAGCCACUGCUGUAUCUCCCUCUUAUCACACUCUGCUGCUUUAUCAAAAGGAGAACAUUAGACAAUUUAGUCCUAGACACACCAAAUAUGGACAGUGUAGGUCACUGCUGGAAUGUCUCUAAUCAUAGGAAUCUACUCAAUAAAGAGUUCACAAGGUGAUGGAAGCCUGCUAGAAAUAGCAGCCACAGCCAUAUGUCCCUCAUGUCACACACUGCUGCCUUUUAAAAGGGAGAAAUGACAUACAUUAGACAUUAGACCCAACUAGGCUCUGCCAUCUAAAUCCUCAACUCCUCUUUUCUCUUCAGAAUAUCAGCCUUCUCGAUUUCCAUGUGACAUGCCACCAUUUGUAACACAUUUGUAUGGCGGCGAGCUAGCAGAAAGGUUAGCACGCCGGGCGAAAUGUGUAGCCGUAUUUCGUCUGUCGUUACGUUCUGAGUUCAAAUUCCGCCGAGGUCGACUUUGCCUUUCAUCCUUUCGGGGUCGAUAAAUAAAGUACCAGUUUCCCACUGGGGUUGAUGUAAUCGACUUAAUUCCUUUGUCUGUCAUUGUUUGUCCCCUCUAUGUUUAGCCCCAUGUGGGCAGUAAAGAAAUACAUUUGUAACACAACUGAUGGUAGUUACAUAAAUGCAUCCCUUUUUUAACAUGUUGCAGUAAAAACCUGUAACAUGCAGUUACUAGAUGUCACUAAGUGAGGACCUGGUUAUGCAUGUUACAUAGCACACAUCACACACCAGAUGCUGUUACUUCCAUUCUGGUCAUGUGAACAGGUCAUACAUUGAUUUUUUUUUUUUUUUCAAAUAUUUUUAUAAUGAAAUCACAUGACCCAGUCACAUGUAACCCUCUACAUAGUUUUUAUCCUGAUUUCUCCUGUUUAUUUAUUUAUUUAUUUUUUUUCUGCUGCCACUAACUUGUAACUAAUCAAGAAUAAUGUUAAUUUAAUCAAUUUGACUGGUUUCAGAGAUCCUCGAUAGGCCCAUGAAUGAACACAGUUCCUUUCCUCUGGACCAAACCAAUAAAUAGAUCAGUCUCAGGCAAACCUAUUAGCCCCCUGAGACAUGCUGAAUGACCACACCUAU
rnacentral:misc_RNA from 1 species